rnacentral:lncRNA from 7 species
CCGUCUCGCUCGCUCAGCCGCUGCCGUCGAGUCUCCCAGCGUGUGCAGCCCCACCUCCACGUUGGCUCGUCGUUGAUCGCCCUCGCCAGUGUGAGUCGCCGAUCCGAGCUCGCUUGCAAAGCACCGCGCGCUAGAGCAAGCUGUGUCUUGAGCCUCGCCUCGCCGUUCGCCAUCUUCGCAAGGUGAGAAUCCUGCGUCUACCCCUACGCUAAUUAAUUUCCUAC